ensembl:processed_transcript
UUUCUGAGAAUGACAGGUGGCGGAAACACCUAAGGUGCUUCAUUCCUCUUAGCUGGGGAAAAGGAAGGCUUUUUUCAUUGGAUCAAUAUCUGCUAUCUCUCAGUCUCGGCAGCAGUGAAGAGGAGAAAUGAAGAAAAGCUGCUUUGUGCUGACGAUAUGCAGCUUUUUUGCGGCAGGUAUAUUUAGUAUUAAUGAGAAGUCAGUGAUGGUAGGAGAAUCCAUCGAGCUGGACAUUAGUAAUGAACGGAUAAAUAAAAAGGACACAUUGAUUUGGUAUUUUAAGGAUACUCGCAUUGCUCUGGUCAAUGAAGAUAUCGAUUCGAGCUGUUUAUAUGAUGGCGAAGGCCGGAGAUUUAGUGACAGACUGGAGGCGGAUUAUGAGACUGGAAGUUUGACCAUCAAAAACAUCACAACAGAACAUGCCGGACGCUAUGAAGCAGAGAUCAUCAGACGGGAGAGUUCAGGAACCAGCGCAACCCUCAGGCCUAAUAAAGGACCAAUGUGCAGCUCAAAGAGUAUCAUCAAAAAUAACAGCAACAACACUGAUAUCGUCCAAAUAUUUAAUGUCGCAGUCACUGAUGAAUCCCAUGAAGACUCUCACAACAUGCAGAAGAAGACAAUAACUCCGGUUUCAGGUGUUGUAGAAGGAAAAUCCAGCAUUCUUUCACUGUUUUUCUUGUGGUUUCUACAGAUUUUGGUGUGACUUUAAAUCACCACAUGAUGUCAAACAUUAAAAAAGGUCACCAACAGAGGAUAUAGUUAAAGAAAAACAUCAAUAUUGUGUAAAUUAAUUUAUAUUUGUGAAUGAAUGUUUUUCAAAACUUGAGAGGUGAGAUGUGUUUCUGUAGCAUCUUAUCUCCUUUUAGAGUUCUGAUUAAAUGGAUAAAAUGCCAUUGAUAUCGCAAAUGAAAAAACUCUGCCAAUCA